rnacentral:lncRNA from 1 species
AUCCCGCUUCCAAUUUCAACUCCCCCCAAAAAUUUCUUCACUAGUAUUCCUCUGUACCAUUUUCUUCUCUAAAUUAAUCCUAAAUUGAUUUCCUCUCCAACCUUCAUCUCUCAACUGAAUCUUCACUUCCAUAGCAACAAUGAUAACAAUCUCCUCUGUUCUUUGUUAAUCCACUCACUCUCUUCACACACCUCUUCUAUGUUCUUCAUCUCAAAACCCUAGCUCCAGAUCCACAACAACAAAGUAAGUACGUCGCAAACUCUGACCCAAACAACCGCCCCAAACCCGACCUGUUACCUUCCGAUUCAGAUUCAACCGGUUCAGCUGCAACACCUUCAUCCUUAUGGGCCAAACCCUAGGUCGAACCAUAAACUUCUUGUUCACUUUACACCGUACAACUCAUUUUUUCCGAUGAGAUUAUUCAGCAGAGGCUCUUCCACUGCCACCGCCGUAGCCUUCGGUCCGGCGAGACCUAUCCAUCUUGUGAACUGUGACGAGCAAGGAAAGAUCCAGAUGGAUCAGAAGUGGUUUCUGUUCUUCGACUCAUAAAACAAUGGUAGGUGGUUCUUGAGCUCAAGUCAACAAAUCGCCUAAGACUCGUUUUGCUUCUACAUCCUCUCGUAACUUUCACAAAACAUCUGUCAAAGAAGGAAGAAACUAUGCCUGGCAGCAUUGGGUGAAUGGGGUAGAAACAGAAGAAACUGAAAAUGGUAAUAAUGAUGUAUCUCGUCCCUAAAGAGGCUAAUGAUCAGCCGAAGGAACUACUAUAGAAACAAGCUUCUAAAAGGCUAUUGUAGAAUCGGGAUACGAGUACUGAUGCGGGUCCUCUUGUAACUAGGCCUGGGCAUAUUCGGUUUGAACCUCUUCAUGAAUGUAUACAGGGGUGCUAAACGGGUCGUGUUCGCGGGUUGACGGGUUCAACCCGACCCGAAAAUUUUAGACCGACGCGAACCCGAAAAUCAUGCCGUACAUAUGAACCCGAACCCGACUCGAAUAUUCGCAUACUGACCGAACCCGAUCCGUUAAACCCGAUUUUUUUUUUUUAAUUUUUUCAGCAAAUUAAUAUAUUAAAAUUAACACUACAACAAAAAGAAAACACAAAUUUAUAUAAUAAAAUUACAUUAAAAUCAUAAAAAUUUAUGUCAACUUCCAUUUUUAAGUUAUAUUUAUAGCAUAAAAUACACACCCAAUUUAAUUUAUGACAUAAAACAUAGUUUUAAAAAUAUAAUAUAAUAGAAAUGGGUUAAACGGGUCAACCUGCCACCCCGAUCGGGUUGACCCGUUUAGCUAAACGGGUUCGUGGGUUCAACCUGAAACUGACCCGAACCCGUUUAUACUAAACCCAAACCCACGAAUUUCGUGUUAGGUUUGUAUCAUGUUUUCGGAUCGUGUCAGAAAUUCACACCCAUAAAGAUAUAUGCUAAAUAUUUUACAUCUCUUGAUGUGGGUCAUGUUCUUCUCAUUGUGGCUUCCUUCGUAUUGCUCCCUUUUCACCGGUACUCGCUGGUGGUGGGGAUGCUUGUGGUGCUAAUGUUCAUCCCAAUUUAUGAGCACAUUAUAUGGGGCCUUGCUAUAGCUAGGACCUGUUAGUGGCAGUUCUACACAUGGAGCUAUUUGAAGCCAAAAUCGGGAAGCUUGUUGAACUCGGGUUCAGUAGAGAUGCAGUUAUACAAGCUUUGAAGCUUUUUGAUGGUAAUGAAGAACAAGCAGCUGGAUAACUUCUACCUCUGGAAAAGCGCGUGAAUCUGCUGUUUUUGUUUUGGAUCCUUGCCACCAUUGGCCCAACUUUUGAUUCUGAGCCUGAAUUGACAAACAUUUGUUUAUCCUACAUUCCUACAAGUUGUUCCAAAAUUUGAUUUGGAUAUUAACUAAGAUGAUGUGGAAGGCGGGUGUUCCAGCUAUGGACAGAUCAAGCAUAUAUAUGUUGACAAGUAUGUGUGUAAGUUCUUUAUCUCAGUCUACUAGGAUGAGCAUGUGUUAGAUGUGCAAAAUACCAUAACAUGGGGUUUACAAGUAGCAUGAAUAAAAUAAUUGGAGGAUCAUACAACAUCAGAACUAGCCACAAGUUACAAGUUUACUCCCCACCACAACAGCAGUAAUGUGGCCACGAACCCAUGGAUGCAAAUUUACAGCACUUUUAGGUCUAAAACAAUGAGUAUGCGGACUUGAAGAAAACAGUCUGGAAGUAGUUCUUAGUUUAUGUGUAAAGUCAUUUUCCUUUGCGAGUUUUGUAGAUAGGUUAGUGUUGGUAUUUAAAUUGAAUACUUAUGUAUGGAUUUUGGGUUAUUAUUAUUAAUAGCAUUUGGUUUUUAGUU